rnacentral:rRNA from 1 species
UACGUAGGGCGCAAGCGUUGUCCGGAAUUAUUGGGCGUAAAGAGCUCGUAGGCGGCUUGUCACGUCGGGUGUGAAAGACCGGGGCUUAACCCCGGUUCUGCAUUCGAUACGGGCAGGCUAGAGUUCGGUAGGGGAGACUGGAAUUCCUGGUGUAGCGGUGAAAUGCGCAGAUAUCAGGAGGAACACCGGUGGCGAAGGCGGAUCUCUGGGCCAUUACUGACGCUGAGGAGCGAAAGCGUGGGGAGCGAACAGG